UAGAAAAAUAACAGACGAUAACGCUAUGCUUUCGAGAGUUUCUACUACAAGUCGUCUGCUACUGUCUUCCAUUUUGUUUUUUUUUUCCCCCUCACUUUUCUAUCUCAAUUUCGUUUCGUUCAAGAUAUAAUUUGGCAACUGCACAAGAAAAACUGAUGCAAAAAAUGUUUUAUAUAUAAAAAAAAAGAAUGAUGUAAUGAAAAGUAACAUAUGGAUUCACGAAAGUGUCGUUAAUAAGGACGUCGUACGGUAAUAAUGCGAUCAUAGAAUAUUAUACGUCUAACGACGAAGUACAGUACUAUAGAAGGUGUCUUGUAUCUUCACUUCUGUUGACUACGGCCAAUAAGAAAUUCGAAGUUUUACAGCUGGAUUUGGAGCAUGGAUCGAAGAAGGAUGGUGAUACGGAAUAUUAAAGACAUUCAAGAUCAUGUUCACAAUAGUCAGAAGGCACUAGCCAUCAUGUACAUCAAGUGGAUCUCCAGUGUAUCCGGCAGGGCAACGGCAGAUGGCAACAUGAUUCUGUGCAAUACAUUCAGCGGUUGGGCUACAAUCUGCAUAAAGGCACACAACUGCAAAGAAAUUUAUACACAUCUCCUUAUUCCAUCUGUGCCAGGUCGACAGACUUGAUCAUGAGAGCAUCCACUAUCUCCCACACAUUCAUGAGACUUACGCUUGCAACCAUGGAGAAAAUCAACUGGAUUUCCAGUGUAUCCAGGAUUACAUUCACAAACUGGUUGAUGUGCUCGUCCUAUACAUUGGGCAUUUGGUCCACAACGUGUACUUUUACAGAC